CCUACGGGAGGCAGCAGUGGGGAAUAUUGCACAAUGGGCGAAAGCCUGAUGCAGCAACGCCGCGUGAGCGAUGAAGGUCUUCGGGUCGUAAAGCUCUGUCCUCAAGGAAGAUAAUGACGGUAUCUGAGGACUACGCCCCGGCUAACUCCGUGCCAGCAGCCGCGGUAAUACGGAGGGUGCUAGCGUUAUCCGGAAUUACUGGGCGUAAGGGGGGCGUAGGUGGGUACGUAAGUCAGAGGUGAGAUGCUAGGGCUCAACCGUAGUACGCCUUUGAAACUGGGAAACUUGAGUGCGGGAGAGGAGAGUGGAAUUCCUGGUGUAGGGGUAAAAUGCGUAGAUAUUAGGAGGAACACCAGUUGCGAAGGCGGCUCUCUGGACUGUAACUGACACUGAGGCACGAAAGCGUGGGGAGCAAACAGGAUUAGAUACCCUUGUAGUC
rnacentral:rRNA from 1 species